rnacentral:rRNA from 1 species
UAGAGUUUGAUCCUGGCUCAGGAUUAACGCUGGCGGCGUGCUUAACACAUGCAAGUCGAACGGGGUAUAGUUUUCGGAUUAUACUUAGUGGCGGACGGGUGAGUAACGCGUGGGGAACCUGCCCUAUACAGGGGGACAACAGUUAGAAAUGACUGCUAAUACCGCAUAAGCGCACAGAGCUGCAUGGCUCGGUGUGAAAAGAUUCAUCGGUAUAGGAUGGACCCGCGUCUGAUUAGCUAGUUGGUGAGGUAACGGCCCACCAAGGCGACGAUCAGUAGCCGAUCUGAGAGGAUGAGCGGCCACAUUGGGACUGAGAGACGGCCCAGACUCCUACGGGAGGCAGCAGUGGGGAAUAUUGCACAAUGGAGGGAACUCUGAUGCAGCGACGCCGCGUGAGUGAAGAAGUAUUUCGGUAUGUAAAGCUCUAUCAGCAGGGAAGAGAAUGACGGUACCUGACUAAGAAGCACCGGCUAAAUACGUGCCAGCAGCCGCGGUAAUACGUAUGGUGCAAGCGUUAUCCGGAUUUACUGGGUGUAAAGGGAGCGCAGGUGGCAUGGCAAGCCAGAAGUGAAAGCCCGGGGCUUAACCGCGGGACUGCUUUUGGAACUGUUGUGCUGGAGUGCAGGAGGGGUAAGCGGAAUUCCUAGUGUAGCGGUGAAAUGCGUAGAUAUUAGGAAGAACACCGGUGGCGAAGGCGGCUUACUGGACUGUAACUGACACUGAGGCUCGAAAGCGUGGGGAGCAAACAGGAUUAGAUACCCUGGUAGUCCACGCGGUAAACGAUGAAUACUAGGUGUCGGGGAGCAAAGCUCUUCGGUGCCGCCGCAAACGCAGUAAGUAUUCCACCUGGGGAGUACGUUCGCAAGAAUGAAACUCAAAGGAAUUGACGGGGACCCGCACAAGCGGUGGAGCAUGUGGUUUAAUUCGACGCAACGCGAAGAACCUUACCUGCUCUUGACAUCCCAUUCAACAGAUGGUAAUGCGUCUGGCCCUUCGGGGGAAUGGAGACAGGUGGUGCAUGGUAGUCGUCAGCUCGUGUCGUGAGAUGUUGGGUUAAGUCCCGCAACGAGCGCAACCCUUAUUGACAGUAGCCAGCAGGCAAAGCUGGGAACUCUGUUGAGACUGCCCGGGAUAACCGGGAGGAAGGUGGGGAUGACGUCAAAUCAUCAUGCCCCUUAUGGGCAGGGCUACACACGUGCUACAAUGGCGUAAACAGAGGGAAGCGAAGUGGGGACAUGGAGCAAAUCUCAAAAAUAACGUCUCAGUUCGGAUUGUAGUCUGCAACUCGACUACAUGAAGCUGGAAUCGCUAGUAAUCGCGAAUCAGAAUGUCGCGGUGAAUACGUUCCCGGGUCUUGUACACACCGCCCGUCACACCAUGGGAGUCGGUAAUGCCCGAAGUCAGUGACCCAACCGGAAGGAGGGAUCUGCCGAAGGCAGG